rnacentral:rRNA from 1 species
UGGGGAAUUUUGGACAAUGGGCGAAAGCCUGAUCCAGCAAUGCCGCGUGUGUGAAGAAGGCCUUCGGGUUGUAAAGCACUUUUGUCCGGAAAGAAAUCCUUGGCUCUAAUACAGUCGGGGGAUGACGGUACCGGAAGAAUAAGCACCGGCUAACUACGUGCCAGCAGCCGCGGUAAUACGUAGGGUGCAAGCGUUAAUCGGAAUUACUGGGCGUAAAGCGUGCGCAGGCGGUUUGCUAAGACCGAUGUGAAAUCCCCGGGCUCAACCUGGGAACUGCAUUGGUGACUGGCAGGCUAGAGUAUGGCAGAGGGGGGUAGAAUUCCACGUGUAGCAGUGAAAUGCGUAGAGAUGUGGAGGAAUACCGAUGGCGAAGGCAGCCCCCUGGGCCAAUACUGACGCUCAUGCACGAAAGCGUGGGGGAGCAAAACAGGAUUAGAUACCCUGGUAGUCCACGCCCUAAAACGAUGUCAACUAGUUGUUGGGGAUUCAUUUCCUUAGUAACGUAGCUAACGCGUGAAGUUGACCGCCUGGGGAGUACGGUCGCAAGAUUAAAAACUUAAAGGAAUUGACGGGGUCAUAGCUGUUUCCU